AUCACUUGUUCUUUAAAUGGGGACUUGUAUCAACGGCAUCACGAGGGUUGUACUGUCUCCUUUCCCCAAUCAGUGAAACUGAUCUCUCCGUGAAGAAGCGGAGAUAGAACUAUAAGACGAGAAGACCCCAUGGAGCUUUAAACCCAGCAAUUACACUCAUUUAAAUAUUCCUCUAUAAAUAAUAGAAGCCUACUUGUCUGGUUUUAGGUUGGGGUGACCGCGGAGCACAAAUUAACCUCCACGAUGAAUGGGUUAACCCCCUUAUCCAAGAGUUACACCUCUAAGAAUUAAAAAUUUAACAUAAGCUGAUCCGACCAUCGAUCAACGAACCAAGUUACCCUGGGGAUAACAGCGCAAUCCACUUUAAGAGCCCCUAUCGACAAGUGGGUUUACGACCUCGAUGUUGGAUCAGGGUAUCCUAGUGGUGCAGCAGCUACUAAAGGUUCGUUUGUUCAACGAUUAAAACCCU
rnacentral:rRNA from 1 species